rnacentral:rRNA from 1 species
GAUGAACGCUGGCGGCGUGCCUAAUACAUGCAAGUCGAGCGAGUGGCGGACGGGUGAGUAAUGUCUGGGAAACUGCCCGAUGGAGGGGGAUAACUACUGGAAACGGUAGCUAAUACCGCAUACCAUCGGAUGUGCCCAGAUGGGAUUAGCUAGUAGGUGGGGUAACGGCUGACCUAGGCGACGAUCCCUAGCUGGUCUGAGAGGAUGACCAGCCAACAUGGAACUGAGACACGGUCCAGACUCCUACGGGAGGCAGCAGUGGGGAAUAUUGCACAAUGGGCGCAAGCCUGAUGCAGCCAUGCCGCGUGUGUGAAGAAGGACUUCGGAUUGUAAAGUACUUUCAGCGAAGAGGCGUUACUCGCAGAAGAAGCACCGGCUAACUCCGUGCCAGCAGCCGCGGUAAUUC